UACGGGGGGAGCAAGCGUUGUUCGGAUUUACUGGGCGUAAAGGGCGCGUAGGCGGCUUGACAAGUCACUUGUGAAAUCUCCGGGCUUAACUCGGAACGGCCAAGUGAAACUGUCAUGCUAGAGUGCAGAAGGGGCAAUCGGAAUUCUCGGUGUAGCGGUGAAAUGCGUAGAUAUCGAGAGGAACACCUGCGGCGAAGGCGGGUUGCUGGGCUGACACUGACGCUGAGGCGCGAAAGCCAGGGGAGCGAACGGG
rnacentral:rRNA from 1 species